rnacentral:rRNA from 1 species
CCCUUAGAUGUCCUGGGCUGCACGCGCGCUACACUGGAAGUUACGGAUUGAGAUACUACCUUGUCCGAAAUGGUCCGGGUAAUCACCUAAAAGCUUGUCAUAAUUGGAAUGGAUUAUUGUAACUAGUAAUCCUGAACGAGGAAUUCCUAGUAAGUCCCAGUCAACAGCUGGUACUGAUUGCGUCCCUGCCCUUUGUACACACCGCCCGUCGCUACUACUGAUUGGACGUUUAAGCAAGAUUUUUAAACACUGACAGUGUGUAGUUCACGCUAUACUACAGUGAGAAGAAGAAGAUCGAGCUUACUUGUCUAGAGGAAGUAAAAGUCGUAACA